GGGUGGGGGUGAGCGGUCCCGCUGUGGGGCGGCGUCCUGAGCUCUGCGCUCGCAGGCCGCCGUUUUGCAGCAGGGGCCUGCGGUGCCCGGGGCUGCUUCUGCCUGUGGCCCCGGAGAGCGUCUGCCCUUGUGUGUCAGCCGCUCCUAAACUCCUUUGUGCUGGGUUGGGUUAACUGCUGUGUUUAAUGCUAGUUUACUAGCUGCAGCCCCCAAAACGCUAGGAAUUACAUUUUUAUUCCAAGAGUAUUUAUUGAAGUCCAGGAUUUUUAGGUACCCUUUGAGUGCGUACUUUAACACAGCAUCAGCAAUUAUUUCAGGUGCAGGGCCACUCACCAAGUGGUGGCACCUGUUGCAGCCCUGCCCCUGGCUCGGUGCCCUGCCCCUUGGUCGCCGUCCUGUGGCUGCGAGUCCUAUCCCAUAACCCUGACCUUUGCCACUGGAAGUCCCUCUCUUUGCCCCCUGGAAACACUCCCUUCAGGAAGGGGUUUUGUCAUCUCAGAAGCAGAAAAAUACCGAGUUAUAUUCUAAAAAGAGAACAUCUACAACAACGACUAAUUUUAUUAAAAAAUUUAAAAAAGCAGUAAUUUGAUUUCAAGAGUCACUCUUGUGCUCCCUGGGCUUCUCGGAGCACAGCCAGGCUUCCAGAAACCGGUGCACCAUUGGAUCCAGCAGGUGCAGCCUGUGAGCUGGGGCUGCAGCCGUGCAGCUAGCACCCUGCCUGGGCAGCCUUGAGGGAAACGGCUGCUGCGGAGGGAAGCACCCGCCCCCUGCGACUCGGGGGCUGUGCAAUGCAUAGCAGCUCGUAUUGGCAGGCUCUGCUGAGGGCUGUGGGGGGGGAAGCAGUGAGGGGCCUGAUUUCUCUUCUUCCCCCUCCCCCAGCCUGCGUGCAUCUGUGGGCAGGCUCCAGAGCACUGUGGUUGUUUCGUUAAGCAUUGUGAUUAGCUGCCGAGAGAACCCAUCGGAGCGCUCUGGACAGACAAUAAGCCUCUGGAAGGGGAAAACUUAUAGAGGGGAUGACUGGUUCCUAUGGAGGGGGUGCGGGGUGGAAUAGAGCUGCUUCUGUAACACUUUGGGUGGGAGUUUUUCUGCCUUCUGUGCUGUGAAGACUGGAAGUGGAGUUGCUUGUAGGUUUUUUUUGGUUGUGGGGGGGUUGGUUGGCCUUUCUGCUAAAGUUUCUAGGGUCUGAGAAGCAAGUGUAAUGAAGAGACCUAGAGCUGAUGACUCGUGGAGGGUAGAGGAGGGAGCAAGAGGCUGGGUGUGUGCUUCUGGAUUCCCUGUGGUGAGGCCUCUGCCCCUGUGCCCUUAGCUGCCUUGGAGCGGGACAUGGUCACAGCCUGGGGGAGGUGCAAGCUUCCUUGGAUCCGUGUGGGGUUGUCUUUGAUUUGUCAGUUUGUUGCAAGGCACAGGGAUGGCUUCUGGGAGCUUGGAGACACUGGGUGGUGGGGCCUGGAUGUGUGUGUAUGCUGUUUGGGAGGGAUUUCAGUCUGGUCUUGAUUGACCCUGUGGGCUUCAUGGCUUGUUUUCUCUUUCAGGAUCCUGGGUGUUGUGGAGAGACUUUGGGUUGGAGAUGGAUGCAAAGAAGUGGAGGCAUGCCAUGGUGAUGGAGGAUAGAGCAGGAGGAGUAGCGUGAUGGAAGGUGGACUUACCUCAAGCGGGGGUGGUGUUUUGAGUGGGGGUGUCUGGGUGGGCUGGGAAGUCCCUGCUCUGGGUUGGUGUCCUGAGCUGCACGCUCCCAGGGCAGGGCUACUCAAGCGGAGGGCCAUGGCACCUAGGAGUGCCUCUGAGAUGAGUGGUGUAUGGCUGGGCUGGCUUGGCCCAGAGUUGCUCUGAGUCUGUGCAAAGAUCUCCAGGUUGCGGUGGGACAGAGGAUUGGGUCUCUGCCUGGCUGUACCUGUUGCCACAUGCCUCCUUUCAGUGCUGGGAAUUGCAUUUAUGUCUCAUCUCUCUGGGUGUGUCACUGGUGUCUGUCUUUGUACUUCUGUUCUUAAAAAUCACUGCAGCACUUGUUACUUUGUUCUUCCCAGGACUGAAAGGGGGGUUGUGUUUGCAUUUAAAUUGAUCCCCUCACUUGGGAGGGGUGUAGCUGCAGCCCCCUGCGGUUUGUUAGUAGGGCCAGUCCAAGCUGCUGUUGUACCCCUGGUUGGGAGGGAGGGGGUGCUGUCCCGUUGGUGCUGUGAGACCUGCGCAUAGCGCCGCAAGUGUUAAUUGCUGUUGUUCAUUUUUGGUGGUGUGGACAUGUUUGGCAAGAUGAUCAAAGUCUGGUCCUGAGUGGAGAAGAGCUGAGGAAGAGGUGAAGAGCCCUGGAGCUGGUAUGGCGUGGAAGGAGUUGGAGAUGGCCCGAAGCCAUGCUCAUGUGAUCACCUGGAGCGAGGUAUUUGCUUCUUGCGGGUUGCAGCUCUGGAUGGAGAGAUCCUGCAGCUGCAGGUGCCUGCAUCGUAUCUGGGAAAGGGAUGGCAAGCGUGAGGACUGACGGCGCACAAGGACUGAAAGCGCAGCUUGAUGCCAGGUGUGGGUCCUGAUGUUCCUGGAAGGAAAGGGUGAGGGCACAGGGACGGGAGCAGAGCAGCGGUAACGGAACCAGAGGAUCAGGAUGCUAGAAGGUGUUUCGUGUUUGGGAUGAGGAGCCACCUUGCCAAGGCUUCAGGUACUGAAGACGAGGUGAAGAGCCGCAGAGAUGGUGGAGGAGGAAAUGGGCAGCUGUCUCGUGACUUCCCAGUUUGUGUGGUGUGAGGCCUCUGCCCCUGUGACGUCACCUGUGUGGAGCCUGCGGUGGGUUUGAGCUUCCUUGGAGCGGUCAUGCUGUGUGUACGGUGGUUACUGUGAUACAUCAUGUUUUGAGUGCCUGUGACUAUCCAGCUCCGGGAGGCCGCAGACAAGCCUUUGAGAGCUCGGAAGCCUGUAUGCAUCUUGUGGGGGAAGAGGGACGCAGGGAGUUCUGUGCCAUGCUGGUGGAAGAGGAAGGAAAACAAUGCUUAAAGAGGCGAGCCGAGGUAGAGGUAAAGCGACCUAGAGCCACAACGUUUUGGGAGGUGGAAGACACAGGGGACUGCGCUCCAAUGGUGACUUCUGGGUCACUUGGAAGGAAGGCCUCUGUCCUUUUGCUGGAGUUGUGUGCAUGAGCAGAGCGUGCAGAGGUGCCUGUGUACCCUGUGCAGAGAGGAAGGCAAUCGGGGACAAGGCUGGGCUGGAGAAGGAGCAGAAUUAUGCCAGUUUGGGAUCCUGCCCUGCGUGGAGGGAAAUGAAUGCCGGUUCAGGGAGUGGAGCCAAGCAGUGCCCAUGGAGGCGGAAGCAGGAGGAAUUGAAUGCCGUGAGGUGUGUUGGCGCUGCAUGGGCAGAUCCAGUAGUUGGGUCCUGGCGUGUGUGGAAGGAAAGGGUGAGGACACUGGAGCAGAGCAGUGGUAAUGGAGCCAGAGGAUCAGGAUGCUAGAAGGAGCCAUCUUCUGAAGGCUUGAGGGCUGUGAAGCAGACACUGUGAAGAUGAAGUGAAGAGUCCCAGAGAUGGUGCAUGAGGAAAUGGGCAGCCUUGUCAUGACUUCCUGACUUGCGUGAUGUGAGGCCUCUUCUCCUGUGGCAUGACCUGGCUGGACUCCUGGGGAGGUUUUGUGUGUGUAGCUUCGCAGGCGGUGCAUCUCUGCUCCCACUUCCUGCUGUGAGGACACCUGGAUAAGGAGCAGCAUGAUUGUGGCUGGGUGUGCGGCCUCAAUGUUGUGGGGGAGAGGAAUAGAAGUGAGUUUUCUACGGUGGUGGUAGAAGAUGGAGGAACUGGAUCCCGAAAGGUGGGCUGGGUUAAAGUGGGAGGCUGGGUUGCGUUUUCCCUGGUCAUAUUUGGGUGGGGGAGGAAACCCCUAGUGUGUGAUGGGGUCUGGAGCUCUGUGCUGUCUGGGGAGUGAUGCUGAAGCAGGGAACUGUGGCCCUUAGGGAUGCUGCAGAGCAGGGGGUCUAAGCCUGAUUUUGGUUUAGCUUGGGGUUGAGUCCUGACUGCUUGUAAAGGCUGGAAAUUGUCCUUGAGUAUAUUAGGGGUUUCAGUGUUUGCCCCUGGCUUCUGGGUGCAGAUGACGGCAUUGGAUGUGCCGGGGCAGAGGAGCGGGUGCGUGCGUGGCUGCCUCUGCCUGGCUGUUGCUGCUGCCACUGGUCUCCCUUCAGUUCUGGGAAGUGCACUCUGUCCUAUGUCUCUGGGUGUGUCACUGGUGUUUCUUUCUACUUUGAUAUCUAAAAUCACAGCAGCACUUCUUUCUUUGCUCUUCCCAGAGCUGGAAGGAUAGGUGUGUUUGCAUGUAAAUUGAUGCCCUCCUUUGGGUGGGCUUUGACUGCACCCUGUGUGCCUCAUGUGCGGGUGGGGGUGUUAUGCUUUUGGUGUCCUAGAUUGCGGGGGGCAUUGUGUCUGUGCUGUCAGUACUAUGAGAUGUGAAUACUGUUGUGUGUAGUAAUUGCUUGUUGUUUUGGGUGUGAUGUCAAUGUGUGGAGUGUGAGCAGAGAAGAGCUGAGGGGAAGAGGUGAAGAGACCUAGAGCCAGUGCUACGUAGAAGCAGGUGGUCAUGCAGCCAUGCUCACUUCUGGGUCACCUAGAGGGAGGCCUCUGCCCGUUUGGUGGAGCUGUGUGCAUGGGCAGAGCCUGCAGUGGGAGGUCCCUGCGUCCCCUGUGUGGAGAGGACGGCAAGGAGGGAUGAGAGUGCACUGGAGGAGGAGUGUGAUGCCAGGUCCCAUGAGUGCAGUCUCUUGGGGUGAGGCCCUUCUCACAGAUGGAUGGGUGCACCCUGGCCAGGCACGUCUUGGAGAGCUGUGAGCUGGGGCCUGGGGUCCUGACCUGUGCAGAGGGAAAUGACUGCCGGUUGAAGGAGUGAAGCUGAGCAGCGCCCACGGAGGAUGAAGCAGGAGGAACUCGAUGCUGCACGGUGUGUCGGUGCUGGAUGGGCAGGUCUGGCAUUUGUAGUGGGGAGAGGUGCUCCCUUGGCUGGACGUGUAGGGUGGGAAUGCCUCCACAAAGAUCAGGACCCUGGACCGGAGUUCAGCCCAAGGAGCAGAAGUAAACGCAGGAGAAGGAAGCCACUGAGGAGAAAGGAGAGGGCGAAGGACUGGAGCAGAGCAGUGGUUUCUGAGGAUGAUGAUGUGCACCAGACUGUGGGAAGAGGGUGAAGCGUCCCAGAGGUGCUGGAGGAGGUGCGGUCAGUCCCUGGUUGCCUGGUUUGAGGCCUCUGGCUUUGUGGUGUCUCUUGGCUGGAUCCCUAUGCAUCUGUGGUCCCUGUGGUAGGUGGGCGAGUGCUUACUUGGAGCAGCGUGGGACUUCUCUCCAAUCUGCCAGUUGCCUCCAUGUUUUUGUUCUUGUGUUUUGGUGAAGAUUUUCUGUAUCUUGCAGGUUUCUUUUUUUCUCCAGCCCAGUCCUGGGUGUUGGGCAUUGACUAGGUAGGGUAGACGGCUGGAGAUCGAUCUGGAUGUUUCUGACUGGGUCCUGGUCCUUGGAGAGAAGUUUGAGCAGAGAAGGGUGGAAGAUGGAGGCAGAGAGGAUGGUGCAAGCAGGGGGUCUUUUUACCAAGACUUUUGGGGCCGGGAGGAGAAGUGGAGAUUGGGCAGAAGAAGAGAAGACAUCUUGAAGUCAUGAACCAUGGAGCUGCCUGUCAUUGGUGCUUGUGCUGUAGCUCUGUCGUGAGGAGCAGGGCAGGGGCAGUGACAUGCUGAGGGCUGGAGAAGGAGCACCACAAAGAUGGCUGUGAGGCCUUGGUCAGGCGUGAAGUAUGUGAGCCAGGAGAGUCGUACAGCACACACGCAGGAUGGAGGGCUGCUGUGAAAUCUGGUGUAGGGCUGGGCCAGCCGGUCCGAGUCUGUCGGAGUCCACGUAUAGGAGAAACGACGGAUGUCUAAGGAGCUUGUGGGGCGUUUGAUCCGGGCUCAUCCCUGGCACUUGGGUUGCAGGCCUGGCCCCUCUCUGGGGUGUGUUGAGGGUGAGCUCUGGGUUUGCGUUCAUGCCCCUGACUUGCUGUUGCUACAGGCCUCCCUUCAGUCUUGGGAACAGCGCUAUGUCCUGUGUGCCUGGGGGUGUCACUGGUGUCUCUCUCUUUCUACCUCUUUGCAAAAUGUCUGCAGCACUUGUUCUUUUUCUGCUCUUGUCAGGACUGGAGGGAAGGCUGUGGUGGGUUUUUUCCUGCCACCUAAAAUGGUUUCCACCUCGGGGAGGGGUCUGACUGCACCCUGUGUGCCCUGUUUAGGCUGGGUGGGGGUAUCGCCUUUGAAUUCUCGGGGGUUGCUUUUGCCCUCAGGGCUGUGAGUCCCGUGUGCCGCGUGACUUUUCCUAAUUUAUUUUUGUUUUGGUGACAUGUACGGGAGUCAUCUGGCUGAGGCUCGAGGCUCCUAAGUGGGCAUCGGGAAGAAGAGGUGGAGAUAUAGCGCCUGUGACCUGAGGAAGCUGGUGAAAGAAACGGAUGUCGGCGCAUUCGCUUUGCUGUUGCCCGGUGUGAGACUUCUGCCCGUGUGGUGGCCCUGGGCUGGAAGCCUUGCUGCGUGAAGCCUGCGAUAGAUGUUGGAUUGCUGCUCCCUGUGUGUUGAGGAGGAUGGGCUGCAAUGACUGGAGGCCUGGAAAAGGAGCCGUGUGGCCAGGGUCCUGGCCUGCAUGGAGGGAAGUAGGUGAGAGGACUGCAUCGUGGAAGAGCCGUGGGACAGUGUUGGAUGACAGACACGGACCGGCCGGAUGUUGCCCGCUACGUUGGAAUGUCCCUUCUGUAUUGGGAUUCUGCGUGGGGGUGUGGGGUGGGUUUGGGAGUGUCCUCAGCUUUAUGAUCCUGGAGCCAGGGGUUUGCAAGUAGUAUGUUUGGGUCAGUUUGUCUGUGCUGUGGGUGGACCUAGGGUGACCAGAGGUGAAAUCCAUUCCUGUGACCCUGUAGUUGGACGAGCACCCAGACACUUGCAGGAACCGCUGGGCAAGCAGGCCCAGAGCUUUCAACUGUUGAGCACAGCAAUGCUGGAGCCAGCUAGCAUGGAAGCAGAAGGGCUGGCCGGGCGCGGGGCCCGGGCUGCCUCUGUGGCUUCUGUGCUAGUGAGGUUGAGAAUUGCAGUGCUGGGGGGUUGGAGGUUUUGGACCUGCUUGUGCAGGGUUCUUGUUGGUGUUGGGGUGCUGGUUCUGCUGGGUCAGAGCAAUGGGUUUUAUUCUGCCUGACUGCCAUGUUUACCGUGUCCUGCAGGGCUGGGAGCCUGUCAUAGCAGUGUGUGUUUGGCUGGGGCGGGGUGGUUGUCUGGUUUGGUCCCUGAGCAGUGUGGUGAGCAUGUUUGUUAUUACCCUGAAAUAAAAUAGUUUUCUGAUAGCCUACUGUUAGGCUAACAAUAAUUUAGAUUAUUAAGAAGUAUUAGCUUUGCAGUUGAAUACAAGGCAUGACCUGUGGCCUAGCAAUGCCGCUGACCACAAGGCAGAAUGAUAGCUAAGCCUUUGCUUAUGUUAAGUAAUCAUUUUAACUGUGUUGACUAUUUUCUGAGUAAAAUGCAGCAAGUGAAUCUGUCUGUGUGCUGUAAACCAGAUACAGCAAGGAACAAGGUAAGAGGAAGAAGGCAUUGUUCUAAGUACAGUGAUCGUGUCCUUAAGAAGUAUCUAGUACUGUGCAAGUUUUUGCUAACAUCAUAAUGUUACUGUUAUUUAGGUUAGAAAAUAUUGUUGGAAAAUCAAUGUGACCUUUGUAUGACCUUUGGUCAAUGCUGGCUGAUGCAACCUUGCAGUAAGAUUGCCAUGAUCUGUCAAUAUAGGCGGGCAGACAAGGUGAUUGGGCCCAACCGUGCGGGGUGAGCAAAGCCAAGCCAUCUUGGUGAUUUCCUCUGAGUUUUGCGCAUGCGUUAUGAAGGAGCUUAUGGAACCAGAGUUUAUAAAUCUAUGUGUUGAGUUGCAGUCGGGGGGUCUCUCUGCCCUUACGAGGACAGGGGACCUUUGGUCGAAUAAACUGAAAAGACCACACCCUCAUCUCUUGCUUAUUGGAGUCUCAGCUGGGAAACGAGCUCUGUUCGGGUUAAGAGAGUCUGCAGGUGUUCCCUUACCAGAUUGGGAGCCUGGUCAGACAAUUUCUCUCACAAUUUGGCGAGCCAGCCAGGAGCACCCAGCUCGUCUCGCUGCCGCUGCCGCCUAAACCCAACCUCCGGCCGGCCGUAACAGAGGUGAGUUCACCACGGGAGUCUUGGGUUAAGGCUGCAGACACGGCGGGACGAUAAGGUGACUCCUUCAAUUUUACUGGCAUGGUGUGGUCUUUUAUAUGUUGUGUAUGUCUUGUCUAACGUGUUAUAGGCCAGUCUGUUCUCCGGAUCCUCAAACCUGGGCACACAGGCAAUUUUAGUUAAUUGCCCGUUCGACUCUUUUGAGCCGAUAAAUCUGUGUGGCGCGUUUUAUGUCUCCAUUCGUGCACUGAGGAACCGUCUCUGUUUCUGACCUUUUAACUGGAUAAGUCCUCCAACCUGUUUGAGGCAUCUUAGAGGCCUGCCUUUCCAGGUUGGUUAGGUCUAGGGCAGCCAAGAAAGCAGGGUUUUUGGGGAGCUUAAUAGUAUAUCAGGUUAUCUGGGAAAGGGAUGUCCGCCAAGAAUGACGAUGGGACAGAAACAGUCAAUUCUGGCUAGUAGUCCUCUUGGAGAAUUGUUAAGCAACUGGAAUAAGUUAUCUGGACAUGGCCAAUUGAGUAAGAAGCGCGCUAUAGCCUUAUGUACUAGUGUCUGGCCCGGCUACACUUAUAAAAACCCUGAACUUCAGUGGCCAGUGUUGGGAUCCCUCAGUGUAGAUAAAUGAAGGUACCUCAGGGGGUUCCUAGAGGAACCCCAUCCCCGACUAAUGGAUUAUUGGUAUCUCUGGUGUGAUUUGAUGGAUUUAAUUCUGCAGAGGAAAAAAAAAACUGAUUACUUCUGGCCGCUCAACAACGUCUGUGGUGUCUUCUCCCCCUUAUUCUCCCGCUAUGCCACCAUUGGUGACUAGGGGACCAGCCAUAAUAAACCCGGCCGCUUAGGCCGUGGCCCUUCCGGCACCUUUUACCCCUCCAUCAGGCUCCUCUCCUCCCGUAACAGGAGUGUCAGGGUCUGUACCUGCCUCCUCGGAGCCUACUUUCAGUCCCAUAGCAGGACAUACUAGGUAGCGUUUGAAUCAGGUCAUACACCUGCUGUUGUACACAUGUAAUGACAUCUGCACACCCCCAUCACACAUGCAGUCACGCCUGUUCAGAGUCCCUUACAGACACGCGCCUGCACAGAACCCCAAAACACACUGCGACAUACACAUGUGCCCCAACAGGUGUCCGUGACACACUUGCACACAAAUGUGCAUCCUCGCACACAUGCAUGUGCACAGUCUCACACACGCACCCAGAGCCCAGGUGCUUGUGACACGUGCAUGCUCACACACACAUGGAACUCAGGUGUCUGACACACAUGCAUAUGUGCUCUCGCGGACACAGUCUAGCACACAUGUACAGAACCCAAGUGUCUGUGGCACACAGGCAAGUACCCUGACAUAUUCACAUUCACACACACACAAGCCCACAUGGGUAGAUAUGAAUCAACCUGCCCCCAAUGAUGUGUGCAAUUAUUGUAAACAAUUGGGGCAUUGGAGACGAGAACGCCCAAACUGCCCUAAGGGACUUCCCCCUUAUGGAGGAAGAAAGGGGGGAACCCAGGGAAACAACCGGGCUGCCAGCACCGAUCCUACAGAUCCCUGGGUCCAGAGUUUGCAAGAAGAUAUAGAUGACUCCCAGUGAAAUAAGGGGGCGGCUCUUCCACACGAUGUAUUUAGGGGAAUCUUCCUCUUUUGAGUAUACCUGCGCCCCUUCAUCCCCUUAUGUACCACUUCAAAUAGCAGGAAAAUUUAUAAAUGUCUUAUAGAUAGAGGAGCAGAUCUGUCCUCACUGGGAGAAUCUCCAGAAAGGGCGGGAAUUGCAGUCUCAGGAUCUGAAAAGAUUAUGAGAGUAAUUGGAAAAUCUAUGCAAGUGCCCCGUGGCACUGAAACACAAGUGCAGAUAGGACCCUUGACCACUAUUCAUGCUUUCCUAUUAGCUGAAGGAACUGUAGUGCACCUCCUUGGAAGAAAUCUACUCUAUAAACUACAGACCAGAAACCCUUCACCCUACUUACUCAUGAGAAUCAAGGCGUUGCUUCAGGUGUCUUAACUCAGCCAUGGGGAGUUUCUAAUCGUCCCAUAGCAUACUAUUCUGCUCAGUUAGAUCCUGUAGCAAGGGCAGCAAUUCUCUGUCUUAGAGCAGUUGCUGCUGCCGCUGUGCUAGUUCAAAAGGCUCAAGAUUUAGUGUUAGGACACUCUCUUGUGGUUGAAAUAUCUCAUUCAGUGGAAGCUCUCCUACUACAGCACAACCUCUGCCAGCAGGGACCAACGCCCAGGCCGCUGAGCUAGCGGCACUCUGAUGAGCAUGCAAAUUGGCCACAGCCUCCAGGGUCACUAUCUAUACUGACUCUAAAUAUGCUUUUAGUAUCUGUCAUGCGCUAGGACAGUCCUGGUGACAAAGAGGUUUUAUCACGUCCUCUGAUGCUGUAAUCAGCAAUGCCACGGAAGUCCAAGAACUGCUAGAGGCUGUCGUGUUACCAGGUGAUAUAGCGGUAAUGCACGGUCCCAGACAUUCCAGAGAAGAUACUGACAUUGCUAAAGGAAAGCAUCUUGCAGAUGCUGUAGCUAGAGCCGCUGCACUACAAACUAAAGGAAGUCUCCUUGCAUCUCAAGUUGUUCUUCCACCCUUGUCUGUUAUUUAUGACAAAGUCCCAGCGGAUGAAGUAUCUAUAUGGGUCCAAAAGUGGGAAGCUGCGCAAGGAAAGGAUGGAGUGUGACGUGUGCCAGACGGUAGACCAAUUGCUCCUCGCACCUUGCUCCGAAGUCUGGCUCAGGAUGCCCACAGAUGCUGUCAGUUGGGAAAAGGAGAAAUAGCAGAACAGGUCCUCUCCACCUGGUUUGCUCCAGGUAUACAUCUAGAAGCUGCCCGAAUAACUCUGCAAUGUUCAGAGUGCAGAGCCUUCAACAAAUACAGAGGACACACAAAAUUACAAGGGGCCCGACCGUGGGCCUAUUUACCCUUUGAAAAACGACAUGGAUUUGCUCAAAGCUGUAAAUUUCAAGCACUGCCUAGUAGUGGUAGAUCAAGUAACAGGAUGGCCAGAAGCUUUCCCCACUCGAGAAGCGGAUUCAGUAGCAGUAGCCAAACCCGUAUUAAAAGAAAUCAUCCCACAUUUCGGCAUUCCAGGAGGAAUAAACUCUGACUGGGGAACUCACUUUACAGAAACUGUUUUAAAAGAAGUUUACAGAGUUUUUGGAAUAAUAACAUACUUGCACGCACCCUAUCGCCCUCUGUCCUCGGGUCAGGUAGAGAGUAUGAAUCAGAGUAUAAAAUCCCUUUUAGGAAAGAUCUGCUCCUAAACCAAAUUGAAAUGGUCAGAUGCUUUACCAAGGGUGCUGUUCGCUAUAAGAACAAAACCCAAAUGGCCUCUCAACCUUGUCCCCCUACGAGUUGUUGUUUGGUCACGCUCCUGUUAUAUAAGAGAUGGGAAAAUCUGCAUGUUAGCUUACUCGGCGGAGAUGAAGCUUUAAUUAGUUAUGUUUUAUCCUUACAGGAGUCUCUCUAGUGUUUACACAGGUCAGCUGCUUUGGUUCAGCUGGUACCCCUGGACUGUAACCUUCACUCCUAUCAAUCAGGACGCUGAGUUUGGGUAAAACAGCAUCGGUGAAAAACCGCCUCGGCCCAAGUCUGGGCAGGUCCGUACCAAGUUCUUCUUACUAUACACGCUGCUGUGAAAAUCGCCGAGAAAGAGGGCCGGAUUCAUCGCGGUCGCCUCAAACCUGGUAUCGGCAAGUAAUGACCGGUCAGCUGCUGUUCCGCCUUUAUGGCUAGAAAGAAUCGGAGAAUCGUGGACCGUUCAGACUCCUUAAUAGAAAUGAUACGUGUAUUAAGCUUGCUUUGUAUUAUCUUUCUUGUUAUACUUUGUGUUUGUAUUUCACUGUGGAUGCAGGGAAGGUUAUAAGUUAAUAAUGGCAUUUCACCGGGCUAUCCUAACAGGAUUAUUGCUCUUGAUGCAUAAAACACCAUGGCUAUUUAUGGGAAAGCGAUACAGAACAGGAAGACCAGUGGAAAGAUAAUACUUACCUGAUUUCCACUAUAGCUAUAGCACAGGCCCUAAAAUUUGUCUAAUGGUUGGAUAUGUGGUACACAGCCUCCUUCUACUAACUUUCCACCCUAUCCUUUAAUCUCUUGGGAAGGGUUUUUUUCUAAUCCAGAGUGGGUUGAUACGGAUAGAGCUGGAAUAAGUACCUGGCAGGACAAUCCUUAUUUUAAAGAGAGAGUACUUUCAGACAUCAUGUUAUCUGCCCAGGUGUGUUGGGAAAAAAGUUAGUGUUAUCUUACACAUUGCAAUCUGUUAUCCUGUACUCCGCUGUACCAUCUUCUUCCCUCUGGCCCCCCCCCCCCGCCUUAUCUUAUCUGACUUCUAGCUGCAGCUGGUACCCAGUACACAGACUUAAUUUCUGCUUUUUUCUAACAAAAUGGUUAGGGCACUUGACAUAAGAAAAUAGUUGGCUUAGAGAUCAUUCUGUCUUGUGGUCAGGAAAACUGCUAGGCCACAGGUCAUGCCUAGUGUUUAGCUACGAAGCUAAUACUAUGUAAUAAUCUAAAUUACCCUGAAAUUAAAUAGUUUUCUAUAGUAUACUGUUCACAAGAAAGACAAACUUGCCCAUCACUCUGACUGUGAGGUGGAAGAGGUGCCAGGAGGAUGUGUGGGGUCUGAGUUGUGCCUUGGUGUGUGCUUAGUUGGGUGAGAGGGGUGCGAAGCUGCCUGGGUGUGGUGGGAUCGUGCUCUGCUCCCUUGCUUGUUUGCUUUGUUUGGUGAUGUUUGUGUGUGUCCUUGUGUUGUUUGUUGUGAGGCUGGCAAUGUUUUCUUCCUGGUGGUUUGUUUUGUACAUGGCUGUUUGCUCACCUCCUGUCUACUGAGCUUUUUGUAUGUAACAUGUAGAGGAACUUGUGGGCCAGCCUGGAAAAAUAAAAUAAAGGAGAAAUGGUUUUGGCA